rnacentral:rRNA from 1 species
AAUCAACGCUGGCGGCGUGCCUAACACAUGCAAGUCGAACGAGAAAGUGGAGCAAUCCAUGAGUAAAGUGGCGACCGGGUGAGUAACACGUGACCAAUCUACCCUUGAGUGGGGGAUAACCUCGGGAAACCGGGGCUAAUACCGCAUAACAUCCUCGGAUCGGAAGAACUGGGGAUUAAAGGAGCAAUCCGCUUAAGGAGGAGGUCGCGGCUGAUUAGCUAGUUGGCGGGGUAAUGGCCCACCAAGGCAAAGAUCGGUAGCCGGCCUGAG